GAUUAAGCCAUGCAUGUCUAAGUAUAAGCAAUCUAUACGGUGAAAACUGCGAAUGGCUCAUUAAAUCAGUUAUCGUUUAUUUGAUAGUACCUUACUACAUGGAUAACCGUGGUAAUUCUAGAGCUAAUACAUGCUAAAAACCCCGACUUCGGGAGGGGUGUAUUUAUUAGAUAAAAAACCAAYGCCCUUYGGGGCUCCUUGGUGAUUCAUGAUAACUUAACGAAUCGCAUGGCCUUGCGCCGGCGAUGGUUCAUUCAAAUUUCUGCCCUAUCAACUUUCGAUGGUAGGAUAGUGGCCUACCAUGGUAUCAACGGGUAACGGGGAAUUAGGGUUCGAUUCCGGAGAGGGAGCCUGAGAAACGGCUACCACAUCCAAGGAAGGCAGCAGGCGCGCAAAUUACCCAAUCCCGACACGGGGAGGUAGUGACAAUAAAUACUGAUACAGGGCUCUUUUGGGUCUUGUAAUUGGAAUGAGUACAAUUUAAAUCCCUUAACGAGGAACAAUUGGAGGGCAAGUCUGGUGCCAGCAGCCGCGGUAAUUCCAGCUCCAAUAGCGUAUAUUAAAGUUGUUGCAGUUAAAAAGCUUGUAGUUGAACCUUGGGCCUGGCUGGCCGGUCCGCCUCACCGCGUGCACUGGUCCGGCCGGGCCUUUCCUUCUGGGGAUCCGCAUGCCCUUCACUGGGUGUGCCGGGGAACCAGGACUUUUACUUUGAAAAAAUUAGAGUGUUCAAAGC
rnacentral:rRNA from 1 species